CCUACGGGUGGCUGCAGUGGGGAAUAUUGCGCAAUGGGCGAAACCCUGAUGCAGCGACGCCGCGUGAGUGAGGAAGUAUUUCGGAAUGUAAAGCUCUAUCAGCAGGGAAGAAAAUGCCGGUACCUGACCAAGAAGCCACGGCUAACUACGUGCCAGCAACCGCGGUCAUACGUAGGGGGCACGCGUUAUACGGAUUUACUGGGUGUAAAGGGAGCGUAGGCGGCUGUGUAAGCCAGAAGUGAAAGCCCGAGGCUCAACCACGGGACUGCUUUUGGAACUACAUGGCUUGACUGCAGGAGAGGCAAGUGGAAUUCCUAGUGUAGCGGUGAAAUGCGUAGAUAUUAGGAGGAACACCAGUGGCGAAGGCGACUUGCUGGACUGUAAAUGACGCUGAGGCUCGAAAGCGUGGGUAGCAAACAGGAUUAGAUACCCCAGUAGUC
rnacentral:rRNA from 1 species